CAGCUUCUAGAAGCUUCCCGCCGCGCCGCGCCGCGCCGCCGCGGGAGCUUCGAGGCGGUGCCUGCCUGCCUGGCCGCGGGGGUGACCCCCACAAGCAACUCGUCGGCACCUCACCGGGGGCACGGGUUACUUUCUUCCCCUUUUCGGAGCGCUCCAUAAGGUUCCGUUGGGGAUUUGCUUCGUGGUUCAACCAUUGGGAUGCCUACUAGUACCUCCUUGUCCACCUGCGAAUUCGGCCCGGGAAUAGCGCGCCGUGUGGCAUGUCAUUAGCCCGUCCGUAUGCGGCAGCGAUGCCCAAGGAGGCGCGAUCAUCAGUCGGCGCCAUACGGAAUCUGGAUCCUCUGGCCUUUGACACCUGCUGGUUCCAUGAAUAUUGUAUGAGAUCCACAGAGGUUGCUGAAUUUUUUGUGUACUACAAUUUUGUAAGCCAAAAAAAAAAUCUGCAGUUUACUGGUUACUUGUUCUCAUGAGCCAGUCGCAAAUUAUAGAAGUUUCUAUCUGGCCGGCACUGCAUUAGAUUAACUCAAACUGUGUGUUCUGUUUAAAUGCUAAUAGCAUAAUCUAUCCGCUUUGUCCCUAGCUCUCUGCUAGCAGAUAUUUUACAUGCCACACCAUCUUCCCCAAGGAAACCGAGGCAGGUCAUGGUGGCACGACCGUUUGCCACUUGGCGGCGCCAUCGCAUGGUUCAUGUUGCUACUGACGACAUGGGUGCCUGUCAUAGAAGUAAACAAGAAAGACAUCACCAUAUUAGAGUUGGAAUUAAAGAAUGGGCGGUGUGGUUAGCCACAAUGCACACUGCAAUGGCCGAGGCAUGGUGCUUUGUUUAGCAGUCAGGUGCAACAGGGAGAGACCACAGACGUGGCUCCCAUGUCUGAAGAAACAUUCCUGGUGCUUGGUUCACCUGGAGUGCCUUUAAGAACGUUUGACCCGGGUUGUUGUCGCAAUGUUGUAGUAGGCUUUGUUGAGUGUUGUUUCGUUCAGGACACUUCUAAGAACUUGAUCUGUGGUGGUGAUAAGUGGUAGCCAUGUGAGGUGAGGGUUUUCAAGUAAUUUUCAUUCUUUACUGCACAUUACUGGUUUCUGAAGUAGAAAGUUUCGUGGA